UGGGGAAUAUUGCACAAUGGGCGCAAGCCUGAUGCAGCCAUGCCGCGUGUAUGAAGAAGGCCUUCGGGUUGUAAAUUACUUUCAGUCGGGAGGAAGGUGUCAAGGUUAAUAACCUUGGCAAUUGACGUUACCGACAGAAGAAGCACCGGCUAACUCCGUGCCAGCAGCCGCGGUAAUACGGAGGGUGCAAGCGUUAAUCGGAAUUACUGGGCGUAAAGCGCACGCAGGCGGUUGAUUGAGUCAGAUGUGAAAUCCCCGGGCUUAACCCGGGAAUUGCAUCUGAUACUGGUCAGCUAGAGUCUUGUAGAGGGGGGUAGAAUUCCAUGUGUAGCGGUGAAAUGCGUAGAGAUGUGGAGGAAUACCGGUGGCGAAGGCGGCCCCCUGGACAAAGACUGACGCUCAGGUGCGAAAGCGUGGGGAGCAAACAGG
rnacentral:rRNA from 1 species